AAUUCAGAAAUUCCCAAAAAAAUCCCCACCCUUCUCUUCUCUCUCCCCGUUUUCAGCGACAGCAAUCCUCCGUCCCCCUUUCUUCGAUUUUCCGACCGCCUGAGGCCUGUCCGAUCGUCGGACCUUCUCCACGUCACCACCGGCUCUCCGCCGUUCUCUCCCUCUCCUCUGUUAUCUCCGGUGGCCGCAGCAGUCACAUGUGAAGCUGCGAGUUCAUUCCGAUCGGGACGGCUUAUUCCCGUGUUCUUUUCUCUUCCCGGCGACGCCAACCGUAACCGGCCAACCCACCUCGAAUUUAGCAUAUCACACCACCGCUCCUCCAUCUCCGGGCAUCUGCAGCUCACGAUUUAGCGAGAAAGAAAGGGACAGCGAGUUACGCUUUCGUUUUUUCCGAUCGGUGCAGUCUCCUCCUUCAACUCUCUUUCUCGCUUUUCCGGCAAGACCCGCCUCUAGCCGGCGAAAACGGCUCUUUUCUCGUCGCUAGCCACUCACAUACAUCGUUGCUCCCACCUUCGACCAAGCUAACGCCGGCAGAGUUGGAUUUCGGCAUUUGGUUUACCGCCGGUGAUUUUAACCGGAAAGAUUCAGUUUCCAACAAAGUCUAUAGCUAGAUCGUCCGAGUUCGUCUACCACUCCUACCAGCCAAAAUCCAAAUUAUCACUCUUUCUCUCUUCUACCACUGAAGCAGUCUUUCUCUAUUCCUGCGGUAGUUCUGUUUUCUACCUCCAUAGAGCUAGAAAUGUAAUAAAUUCCUUAUAACACUCUCUCUUUUCAUUUAACUACUAUUUAUAUGAUUGGGUUGUAAGUAAUGUAACUACCAUUUAUAUGAUUGGAUUGUAAGUAAAUUUUAGUUGAGCUCUGUAGUUAAAAGGUUUUCCUAAGAUAUUUAUUUGUAAAGUGCAAUAAAAUAAUUACAUUUUCAAUGUAUAAAUUUCGUUAAUUUUGGACUUA